ensembl:snoRNA U3 Small nucleolar RNA U3
AAGACUAUACUUUCAGGGAUCAUUUCUAUAGUUUGUUACUAGAGAAGUUUCUGUGAUCGUGUAGAGCACCGGAAACCACCAGGAGGAGGUGCAGUGUUCUCUCCUGAGCGUGAAGCCGGCUCUUGGUGCUGCUUUUAUAACUGUCAUUAGCCACUGAUGGUCGUUCUUCUCUUCGUUUGGGAAAGUAAGAGGGAGAGGACCCAGUCUGAGCGGC